CCUACGGGAGGCACCAGUGGGGAAUAUUGCACAAUGGGCGCAAGCCUGAUGCAGCCAUGCCGCGUGUAUGAAGAAGGCCUUCGAGUUGUAAAGUACUUUCAGCGGGGAGGAAGGCGAUAAGGUUAAUAACCUUGUCGAUUGACAUUACCCGCAGAAGAAGCACCGGCUAACUCCGUGCCAGCAGCCGCGGUAAUACGGAGGGUGCAAGCGUUAAUCGGAAUUACUGGGCGUAAAGCGCACGCAGGCGGUCUGUCAAGUCGGAUGUGAAAUCCCCGGGCUCAACCUGGGAACUGCAUUCGAAACUGGCAGGCUAGAGUCUUGUAGAGGGGGGUAGAAUUCCAGGUGUAGCGGUGAAAUGCGUAGAGAUCUGGAGGAAUACCGGUGGCGAAGGCGGCCCCCUGGACAAAGACUGACGCUCAGGUGCGAAAGCGUGGGGAGCUAACAGGAUUAGAUACCCCCGUAGU
rnacentral:rRNA from 1 species